GAGCUCAAAUUUGAAAUCUAGUAGCCUUCGGCUGCUCGAGUUGUAAUCUAGAGAAGUGUUUUCCGUGCCGGCCCAUGUACAAGUCCCUUGGAACAGGGCGUCAUAGAGGGUGAGAAUCCCGUCCUUGACAUGGACCCCCGGUGCUCUGUGAUACACUUUCAACGAGUCGAGUUGUUUGGGAAUGCAGCUCAAAAUGGGUGGUGAAUUCCAUCUAAAGCUAAAUAUUGGCGAGAGACCGAUAGCGAACAAGUACCGUGAGGGAAAGAUGAAAAGCACUUUGGAAAGAGAGUUAAACAGUACGUGAAAUUGUUGAAAGGGAAACGAUUGAAGUCAGUCAUGCUCUUUGGUAUUUAUAUCAUUGAGUGGGGUCAACAUCAGUUUUGAGCGAUGGAUAAAGGCACUAGGAAGGUAGCACUCUCGGGUGAACUUAUAGCCUAGCGUCAUAUACAUUGUUUGGGACUGAGGAACGCAGCAUGCCUUUAUGGCCGGGAUUCGUCCACGUACAUGCUUAGGAUGUUGACAUAAUGGCUUUAAACGACCCGUCUU
rnacentral:rRNA from 1 species